UACAGAGGGGGCCAGCGUUAUUCGGAAUUAUUGGGCGUAAAGGCGCGUAGGCGGCCAUGCGUGUCUUCCGUGAAAUCCCUCGGCUUAACUGAGGACGUGCGGAAGAAACUGCAAGGCUCGAGUCCGGGAGAGGGGGUGGAAUUCCCAGUGUAGCGGUGAAAUGCGUAGAUAUUGGGAGGAACACCGGUGGCGAAAGGCGGCCC
rnacentral:rRNA from 1 species